GGCGGUUCUGGGGUGACACACCCUGGAAUUGGGCUCUCUCCUCUCUGGUUCCAGGUGUGUCACCUGAGAACUGCA
rfam:Myotis brandtii contig286293, whole genome shotgun sequence.